CGCGGCGGGUGCUAAUACAUGCAAGUCGAGCGGACAGAAGGGAGCUUGCUCCCGGAUGUUAGCGGCGGACGGGUGAGUAACACGUGGGUAACCUGCCUGUAAGACUGGGAUAACUCCGGGAAACCGGAGCUAAUACCGGAUAGUUCCUUGAACCGCAUGGUUCAAGGAUGAAAGACGGUUUCGGCUGUCACUUACAGAUGGACCCGCGGCGCAUUAGCUAGUUGGUGAGGUAACGGCUCACCAAGGCGACGAUGCGUAGCCGACCUGAGAGGGUGAUCGGCCACACUGGGACUGAGACACGGCCCAGACUCCUACGGGAGGCAGCAGUAGGGAAUCUUCCGCAAUGGACGAAAGUCUGACGGAGCAACGCCGCGUGAGUGAUGAAGGUUUUCGGAUCGUAAAGCUCUGUUGUUAGGGAAGAACAAGUGCAAGAGUAACUGCUUGCACCUUGACGGUACCUAACCAGAAAGCCACGGCUAACUACGUGCCAGCAGCCGCGGUAAUACGUAGGUGGCAAGCGUUGUCCGGAAUUAUUGGGCGUAAAGGGCUCGCAGGCGGUUUCUUAAGUCUGAUGUGAAAGCCCCCGGCUCAACCGGGGAGGGUCAUUGGAAACUGGGAAACUUGAGUGCAGAAGAGGAGAGUGGAAUUCCACGUGUAGCGGUGAAAUGCGUAAAGAUGUGGAGGAACACCAGUGGCGAAGGCGACUCUCUGGUCUGUAACUGACGCUGAGGAGCGAAAGCGUGGGGAGCGAACAGGAUUAGAUACCCUGGUAGUCCACGCCGUAAACGAUGAGUGCUAAGUGUUAGGGGGUUUCCGCCCCUUAGUGCUGCAGCUAACGCAUUAAGCACUCCGCCUGGGGANUACGGUCCCAAAACUGAAACUCAAAGGAAUUGACGGGGGCCCGCACAAGCGGUGGAACAUGUUGUUUNAU
rnacentral:rRNA from 1 species